GACGAACGCUGGCGGCGUGCCUAAUACAUGCAAGUAGAACGCUGAAGAGAGGAGCUUACUCUUCUUGGAUGAGUUGCGAACGGGUGAGUAACGCGUAGGUAACCUGCCUUGUAGCGGGGGAUAACUAUUGGAAACGAUAGCUAAUACCGCAUAACAAUGGAUGACACAUGUCAUUUAUUUGAAAGGGGCAAUUGCUCCACUACAAGAUGGACCUGCGUUGUAUUAGCUAGUAGGUGAGGUAAUGGCUCACCUAGGCGACGAUACAUAGCCGACCUGAGAGGGUGAUCGGCCACACUGGGACUGAGACACGGCCCAGACUCCUACGGGAGGCAGCAGUAGGGAAUCUUCGGCAAUGGGGGCAACCCUGACCGAGCAACGCCGCGUGAGUGAAGAAGGUUUUCGGAUCGUAAAGCUCUGUUGUAAGUCAAGAACGGGUGUGAGAGUGGAAAGUUCACACUGCGACGGUAGCUUACCAGAAAGGGACGGCUAACUACGUG
rnacentral:rRNA from 1 species